rnacentral:sRNA from 1 species
CGUUAGCUUUUGCAGCGGCAUCCUUUUUUGGCCCGACUCCUGCAGGAUUGGUGGAUAGGGGCCAAAAAAGAUACAGCGGAAAGAGCGGCCCG